AUUGAACGCUGGCGGCAGGCUUAACACAUGCAAGUCGAGCGAGCGGCGGACGGGUGAGUAAUGUCUGGGAAACUGCCAGAUGGAGGGGGAUAAAUCCUGGAACCGGUAGCUAAUACCGCAUACCAUGAGAAGUGCCCAGAUGGGAUUAGCUAGGAGGUGGGGUAAGGGCUCACAUAGGAGACGAUCCAGAGCUGGUCUGAGAGGAUGACCAGCCACACUGGAACUGAGACAGGGUCCAGACUCCUACGGGAGGCAGCAGUGGGGAAUAUUGCACAAGGGGCGCAAGCCUGAUGCAGCCAUGCCGCGUGUGUGAAGAAGGCCUUCGGUUUGUAAAGCACUUUCAGCGAGGAGGCGUUACUCGCAGAAGAAGCACCGGCUAACUCCGUGCCAGCAGCCGCGGUAAUAC
rnacentral:rRNA from 1 species